rnacentral:tRNA from 1 species
GCGGAUAUGGUGAAAUUGGUAGACACGCCAGACUUAGGAUCUGGUGCCGCGAGGCUUGUGGGUUCGAGUCCCCCUAUCCGCA